UACGAGAGGCCCAAACGUUAUUCGGAAUUACUGGGCUUAAAGAGUUCGUAGGCGGCGCAGAAAGUAGGGUGUGAAAGCCCUCGGCUCAACCGAGGAAUUGCGCUCUAAACUACUGUGCUCGAGGAAUCUAGAGGUGAGCGGAACUGAUGGUGGAGCGGUGAAAUGCGUUGAUAUCAUCAGGAACACCGGAGGCGAAAGGCGGCUC
rnacentral:rRNA from 1 species